UGAGGAACAUGACCUUCGGCGGGGAUAGCCGGCCCAACGGCCGGUAAUACCGCGUACGACCACAUGGGGACAUCCCCGAGUGGUGAAAGCAGCAAUGCGCCGAUGGAGUGCCUCGCGGCCUAUCAGCUAGUUGGUGAGGUAACGGCUCACCAAGGCGACGACGGGUAGCUGGUCUGAGAGGAUGGCCAGCCCAACAGUUGGGACUGAGACACGGCCCAGCUCCGUAGGAGG
rnacentral:rRNA from 1 species